AGAUCAAUGAUGGCUUUACAAAUGGGUCUUGUUGAAAUCUGAACAAAAUGAGUGACAAAAUAACUUCUACAAGGUGAGGUCC